rnacentral:lncRNA from 1 species
GUAUCGUGGUUUACCCCAAGGUUUGGGCUUCGUCCACACUGAUAGUGUAUUUAUUUGAGGGAGAGAGAGCUCUGAGAGUGAGAGCGUUGAGAGAGGGUGAGAGGGCCUAGGAAUUGGCUUCCUCUAAUUGUGAGGGUGAGGGGUCCUUUUAUAGAAUAAGGACUCCUCACUUAUUACAUAUUUGUCAUUUUCUUUCUUACAUGAUUA